CUUAAUACAAUCCACACAAGUUUCAAGAUCACUAAAAUCCAAGUCAGGAAGGAUUUCAUUCUUUACUAAUCUUUCUAUCCUUUCCUUGGAUAUGUGACCCAAACGUUUAUGCCACAAGUUAGCAGAUCGUUCAUUCAGUAAAUCACGUUUAGUACCAAUAUUAUGAUGCAAGGUCAAAAGAGUCUCGGCAAAGAGGUUAUCAAGCUUUAAUUUAU
rnacentral:lncRNA from 1 species